rnacentral:rRNA from 1 species
GACGAACGCUGGCGGCGUGCUUAACACAUGCAAGUCGAACGAUGAAGCUGGAGCUUGCUCUGGCGGAUUAGUGGCGAACGGGUGAGUAACACGUGAGAAAUCUGCCCUUGACUCCGGGAUAACUGCGGGAAACCGUAGCUAAUACCGGAUACUUUCCCUGGUGGGCAUCCACUGGGGAAGAAAGAAUUUCGGUCAAGGAUGAUCUCGCGGCCUAUCAGCUUGUUGGUGAGGUAAUGGCUCACCAAGGCGACGACGGGUAGCCGGCCUGAGAGGAUGACCGGCCACACUGGGACUGAGACACGGCCCAGACUCCUACGGGAGGCAGCAGUGGGGAAUAUUGCACAAUGGGCGCAAGCCUGAUGCAGCAACGCCGCGUGAGGGAUGAAGGCCUUCGGGUUGUAAACCUCUUUUAGCAGGGAAGAAGCGAAAGUGACGGUACCUGCAGAAAAAGCACCGGCUAACUACGUGCCAGCAGCCGCCGUAA